rnacentral:rRNA from 1 species
AGUGGCGGACGGGUGAGUAACGCGUGAGCAAUCUGCCUUUAGAGGGGGACAACAGUUGGAAACGACUGCUAAUACCGCAUAACGUAUCGGUGCGGCAUCGCACUGAUACCAAAGAUUAUAUCGCUGAGAGAUGAGCUCGCGUCCGAUUAGCUAGUUGGUGAGGUAACGGCUCACCAAGGCGACGAUCAGUAGCCGGUCUGAGAGGAUGAACGGCCACAUUGGGACUGAGAUACGGCCCAGACUCCUACGGGAGGCAGCAGUGGGGAAUAUUGGGCAAUGGGGGAAACCCUGACCCAGCAACGCCGCGUGAAGGAAGAAGGCCUUCGGGUUGU